rnacentral:tRNA from 16 species
GCGGGUAUAGUACAAUGGUAGUACAGCAGCCUUCCAAGCUGAAUAUGUCGGUUCGAUUCCGUCUACCCGCUCCA